rnacentral:rRNA from 1 species
AUCAACUUUCGAUGGUAGGAUAGAGGCCUACCAUGGUGGUAACGGGUAACGGGGUGUUAGGGCACGACACCGGAGAGGGAGCCUGAGAAACGGCUACCACAUCCAAGGAUGGCAGCAGGCGCGCAAAUUACCCAAUCCCGACACGGGGAGGUAGUGACAAUAAAUAACAAUACGGGGUUCUUUCGGAUUUCGUAAUUGGAAUGAGUACAAUUUAAAUCUCUUAACGAGGAACAAUUGGAGGGCAAGUCUGGUGCCAGCAGCCGCGGUAAUUCCAGCUCCAAUAGCGUAUAUUAAAGUUGCUGCAGUUAAAAAGCUCGUAGUUGAAUUUCGGGACCAAUACGUCGGUCGUGCCUCGGUACGUACUGGCAUCGUUGGUUUCUCCCUUCUGACGAACCAUGAUGUCAUUCAUUUGGUGUCGUGGGGAAUCAGGACUGUUACUUUGAAAAAAUUAGAGUGUUUAAAGCAGGCUCACGCUUGAAUACAUUAGCAUGGAAUAAUGAAAUAGGACGUUUGAUUCUAUUUUGUUGGUUUCUAGGAUCGACGUAAUGAUUAGUAGGGAUAGUUGGGGGCAUUAGUAUUCAAUUGUCAGAGGUGAAAUUCUUGGAUUUAUUGAAGACUAACUACUGCGAAAGCAUUUGCCAAGGAUGUUUUCAUUAAUCAAGAACGAAAGUUAGGGGAUCGAAGACGAUCAGAUACCGUCGUAGUCUUAACCAUAAACUAUGCCGACUAGGGAUCGGAUGAUGUUAAUUUUUUAAUGACUCAUUCGGCGCCUUACGGGAAACCAAAGUGUUUGGGUUC